rnacentral:rRNA from 1 species
UUGCAGCAGCGCGCAGAGGAAGAUGAGGAGAUCACCCCACUCUCCGGCGACCGACCCUUCUUCACCGCCGUCAUGUGCAAGACCCACGUCCAGAAGCCCUAUGUGCUGAUCAUCCCGACCCACUUCCAGCGCCGGCUACCGGCGAGGCACGCGGCGGUGGUGCUCCGGUGCUGCGGGAGCUCGUGUAUCAUGACCUGGACCGGUGACACCAAGCUGAAGAGACUCGACCAGGGCUGGGCGGACUUCGCCGUCCAGAACCGGCUGCAGGUCGGCGAUGCGUGUGUGUUCGAGCUGGUGUCCGGGUAUGCUGGAGAUGGCGGCAACAGGGAGGUGGUGCUGGAGGUGCAGGUGCUUCGAGGUGGUGGCCUGCCGGAGCCUGAGGAUCUCGCCACCAAAGGAGACACCGCCGAGGAGGCCAUCGCCAUCUUGGACUAG